GCUUAGCCAACCAUUUGCAGUUCAACUUUCAACAGAUCAGGAUCAAGGGACUUCAAAAAUAACUACUUCUUUCUCAAUCUUUCAUGAAAAAACUAACUUGUUGAUGCAUCAUUUGUGGUUUUUUUGUUGUAGCUUAAUAAUGUCGCGAACAAACUGCGCGAAAUGAAUCCAUCAAAGAGAUACCCUCUUAUUAUCUUGCACAAGAGCCGUAUAAAGGGAGGUUCUGCUAAUCCAAACAAUCAGAGGCU
rnacentral:lncRNA from 1 species